rnacentral:rRNA from 1 species
UACGUAGGGCGCAAGCGUUGUCCGGAAUUAUUGGGCGUAAAGAGCUCGUAGGCGGUCUGUCGCGUCCGUUGUGAAAACUCGAGGCUCAACCUCGGGCUUGCAGUGGAUACGGGCAGACUAGAGUGCGGUAGGGGAGACUGGAAUUCCUGGUGUAGCGGUGGAAUGCGCAGAUAUCAGGAGGAACACCGAUGGCGAAGGCAGGUCUCUGGGCCGCAACUGACGCUGAGGCACGAAGGCCAGGGGAGCAAACGGG